AAUAAUAAUAAUAAUAAUAGUAAUAAUAAUGGUAUGUCUAAGAAACAAAAAAAUGCGAGAAGUACAACCUUCAAGACCAGUCUUGUCCAGAUGCCACUUGCUGCAUGAUUUAACAAGCACAUUAAUUUAUGUAAAUCAUUGAUCUCAAUUCAAAAAAUCACAAAGGGAAAGCUAUAUCAUAACUGGUAGUAUUGCAAAAGCUAUAUUAAACUACAGCAUCAUCUUAUUUUGGAAACUAUCAAUUGAUCAUAAAUAGUGUUCUAACAUUCAAAAAUGAGCAUUUUAAAAUGAGGACUAAGUUAACAUAGUAUCCUUGGACCAGCUUGACUGGAGCAAAAAGUAGCAGAAGCCCACCACAAUUAGAUUGGCAUUUAUGCAAAUCAUGCGAAAGAAAAGACAGUUGAAUACAAAAUGACCCCAAAAAAAAUUCUCAAGCAGGAAAUUGAUCUGUCAUAUUGUCAAAAGGGCUCAAUACAAUGCACUCAACUGCCUCAAGUUACGUUUCUAAGACAAGUAACAUGUCAAUUGCAAAAACACUGAUGCCUAAGUCCAAUGCUGUGAGGUUUUAUUAUCAUGGAGAAAUUCAAUUACUCCAAAUAAUACAUUUAAUCAUGUCAAAUAACCAUAAUAUGAACCAGCAAAUUAUCAAAUACAUUUAGAAGUGGUCACAACUAACAACAAAUAAAUAGCCCAAUUUAAAUUUCCAACUUAUAAUUGAAAAAUUAAAACAUCUAAAAAGCACAAAUUUAAGCUAUCACAAUCACUGGACCCAGUGUUUAUUUGCCUCACAAAAUCAAUCAAUUAUGGAAUAGCUUGAAUAUUUACUUUCCAUCAAUUUAGCGCAUGAUUUCUCACACAUGUAUAGCUAUGAAAUUAAAAGGCAAAUAAGCAGAAAUGAAAUUUACAAUUACAAAGUUUCUACAAAAAUUUUAAGAUAUUUCACCUCAUCAACAGAAGCAAGAGAGAAUUAUAAAAGACUUACACGUAUGGCCCUGGAAGACCCUUGAGGGCAUUGUAGCAAAGACAAGUGUCCUCUACUAACACAGGACCUUUCACCUUUUCAGCGGCCAAACGAGCUUUUUGCUUGGAGAUCUCAUCUGGUUCACCUUGAAGCUCAGGGACUGAAAAACCAAAAGGCAAAUUGCACACCCUAGUUAGUUUUGUAGAGAGAGAAAAAUAAAGUUUUAGAGAGAGGAAGUGAAAGCAAGUACGAUCAAUUUUCAUAGAUCGCAAGGGAAUGGAUUGUCCGAUGAUGGCUCGGACUUCCUCCAGUUUCUUAGCGUUGCCGGUCACGAAAGUCACCGGCCGAGUAAUCACCACCUUCAAGGCUUCUACUGCCAUAUUCUGGGUCGCAGCUUUUCCUUUUCCUAUUCUUUUUCUUUUUUCCUUUUUCU
rnacentral:misc_RNA from 1 species